rnacentral:rRNA from 1 species
UUCCUACGGGGGGCAGCAGUGGGGAAUAUUGCACGGUGGGCGAAAGCCUGAUGCAGCAACGCCGCGUGAAGGAAGAAGGUCUUCGGAUCGUAAACUUCUGUCCUUGGGGAAGAUAAUGACGGUACCCUUGGAGGAAGCCCCGGCUAACUACGUGCCAGCAGCCGCGGUAAUACGUAGGGGGCAAGCGUUAUCCGGAAUUACUGGGUGUAAAGGGAGCGUAGACGGUUAAGUAAGUCUGGAGUGAAAGGCCGGGGCCCAACCCCGGGACUGCUCUGGAAACUAUUCAACUUGAGUGCAGGAGAGGU